rnacentral:rRNA from 1 species
AACCUCGGAUUAGGCAGGGAUACCCGCUGAACUUAAGCAUAUCA